ACACGGGGGGCGCAAGCGUUAUGCGGAAUUAUUGGGCGUAAAGGGCGCGUAGGCGGUCUUGUCGGUCAGAUGUGAAAGCCCAGGGCUCAACCCUGGACGUGCAUUUGAAACAGCAAGACUUGAGUACGGGAGAGGAAAGCGGAAUUCCUGGUGUAGAGGUGAAAUUCGUAGAUAUCAGGAGGAACACCGAUGGCGAAGGCAGCUUUCUGGACCGAUACUGACGCUGAGGCGCGAAGGCGUGGGUAGCGAACAGGAUUAGAAACCCCGGUAGUCC
rnacentral:rRNA from 1 species